rnacentral:rRNA from 1 species
GGGUGCGAUCAUACCAACGCUAAUGCACCAGAUCCCAUCAGAACUCCGCAGUUAAGCGCGCUUGGGCUAGAGUAGUGCUGGGAUGGGUGACCUCCUGGGAAGACCUAGUGUUGCACCCU